GGAUACACUUAGUGGCGGACGGGUGAGUAACGCGUGGGUACCUGCCUCACACUGGGGGAUAACAGUUAGAAAUAGCUGCUAAUACCGCAUAAGUCCGCAUGGAAAAAACUCCGGUGGUGUGAGAUGGACCCGCGUCUGAUUAGCCAGUUGGCGGGGUAACGGCCCACCAAAGCGACGAUCAGUAGCCGGCCUGAGAGGGUGAACGGCCACAUUGGGACUGAGACACGGCCCAAACUCCUACGGGAGGCAGCAGUGGGGAAUAUUGCACAAUGGGGGAAACCCUGAUGCAGCGACGCCGCGCGAGUGAAGAAGUAUUUCGGUAUGUAAAGCUCUAUCAGCAGGGAAGAAGUGACGGUACCUGAAUAAGAAGCCCCGGCUAACUACGUGCCAGCAGCCGCGGUAAUACGUAGGGGGCAAGCGUUAUCCGGAUUUACUGGGUGUAAAGGGAGCGUAGACGGCAAGGCAAGUCUGAAGUGAAAGCCCGGUGCUUAACGCCGGGACUGCUUUGGAAACUGUUUAGCUGGAGUGCCGGAGAGGUAAGCGGAAUUCCUAGUGUAGCGGUGAAAUGCGUAGAUAUUAGGAAG
rnacentral:rRNA from 1 species